ensembl:snoRNA
GUGACCUUUGAAGGUUAAUGCAACGUUUAAGAGACUAACAUAGAAGAAUAAAGUAAGUCUUCACAAAAUCCAGGGAAGAGAUUACAAAACUCUUCUUUGGAUCCUGUCUGGGAUCAUUGUU